UGUCUAAGNNNNAGCNNUUUAUACUGUGAAACUGCGAAUGGCUCAUUAAAUCAGUUAUCGUUUAUUUGAUAGUACCUUACUACAUGGAUACCUGUGGUAAUUCUAGAGCUAAUACAUGCUAAAAACCCCGACUUCGGAAGGGGUGUAUUUAUUAGAUAAAAAACCAAUGCCCUUCGGGGCUCCUUGGUGAUUCAUAAUAACUUAACGAAUCGCAUGGCCUUGCGCCGGCGAUGGUUCAUUCAAAUUUCUGCCCUAUCAACUUUCGAUGGUAGGAUAGUGGCCUACCAUGGUGGCAACGGGUAACGGGGAAUUAGGGUUCGAUUCCGGAGAGGGAGCCUGAGAAACGGCUACCACAUCCAAGGAAGGCAGCAGGCGCGCAAAUUACCCAAUCCCGACACGGGGAGGUAGUGACAAUAAAUACUGAUACGGGGCUCUUUCGGGUCUCGUAAUUGGAAUGAGUACAAUCUAAAUCCCUUAACGAGGAACAAUUGGAGGGCAAGUCUGGUGCCAGCAGCCGCGGUAAUUCCAGCUCCAAUAGCGUAUAUUAAAGUUGUUGCAGUUAAAAAGCUCGUAGUUGAACCUUGGGUCUGGCUGGCCGGUCCGCCUCACCGCGAGUACUGGUCCGGCUGGACCUUUCCUUCUGGGGAAUCCCAUGGCCUUCACUGGCUGUGGGGGGAACCAGGACUUUUACUGUGAAAAAAUUAGAGUGUUCAAAGCAGGCCUUUGCUCGAAUACAUUAGCAUGGAAUAAUAGAAUAGGACGUGCGGUUCUAUUUUGUUGGUUUCUAGGACCGCCGUAAUGAUUAAUAGGGAUAGUCGGGGGCGUCAGUAUUCAGCUGUCAGAGGUGAAAUUCUUGGAUUUGCUGAAGACUAACUACUGCGAAAGCAUUCGCCAAGGAUGUUUUCAUUAAUCAGGGAACGAAAGUUAGGGGAUCGAAGACGAUCAGAUACCGUCGUAGUCUUAACCAUAAACUAUGCCGACUAGGGAUCGGGCNGNGNUUCUAUGAUGACCCGCUCGGCACCUUACGAG
rnacentral:rRNA from 1 species